rnacentral:rRNA from 1 species
GGGUUGUGAGGUUAAGCGACUAAGCGUACACGGUGGAUGCCCUGGCAGUCAGAGGCGAUGAAGGACGUGCUAAUCUGCGAUAAGCGUCGGUAAGGUGAUAUGAACCGUUAUAACCGGCGAUUUCCGAAUGGGGAAACCCAGUGUGUUUCGACACACUAUCAUUAACUGAAUCCAUAGGUUAAUGAGGCGAACCGGGGGAACUGAAACAUCUAAGUACCCCGAGGAAAA